GCUAAUUUAGUUUAUGUAGAAUUUGUAACUUGUAAUUAUAAGGUUAAAUUAGUA
rnacentral:tRNA from 1 species